UAUGCAACUUGAGUACAUGAAGGUGGAAUCGUUAGUAAUCGUAGAUCAGAUCGCUACGGUGAAUACGUUCCCGGGCGUUGUACACACCGCCCGUCACACCAUGGGAGUUGGUUCUACCCGAAGGCGUUUUCUUAACCGCAAGGAGAGAGACGACCACGGUAGGGUCAGCGAGUGGGGUGAAGUCGUAACAAG
rnacentral:rRNA from 1 species